CUUGUGCAUGCAAUCGCUUAUGGCUUGAGUCCCAAUUUUCACUUUGUAAUUUGGUUACCUACAAUAGCCGGAGGGUGUACAUAUGUUCAGUAAACUAUCAGUUCUCUAACUUCUGUUUGCCGGUAUCAUCUCUUUAGGAAAAAGAGAGACAACAUUUCAGUGAUUCCUCAUAACUAAAAAUGACCAGAGUGGAAAGAGCAGAAUCAAAAUUCCUUCAUAGGAACCUGGAAGCCUCUCCUCUUCUGACGUUCCUUCCUUCCAUUCCAUUCACUCAGUGGUAAAGAUGAAAAAGGAAAGGAUAAUCAGUGUUGGAAGGACCAAGGGAAGAUAAUUGGUGUCAUCUCAGUGGAUCUAAAAAUAGUAUGAUCAUUCUUCAGUUCAAUCUGGAAUUAAACAAGAAAGGCUAGGAAAGGACUCUGGUAUCCGUUCUGGAUUUUUCUGAAAGUAGCCCUGGAUAAUGUGAAUGAGCCAUGGGCAUCUGCUUCCAGAGGAAUUGUGGCAGAUGAAGAGACAGCUGGGAAAGGAUGAAAUUGUCUCUAAACUUCUAUGCCUUGGUGUGGGAUAUGAGCUCCUCAUUAGCAGCCUUGCAGAAAACAAUUACAGGAAGCCUAGAUUAGAAGACAGCUUGAUCUCAAACUGUGUGAGAAGGUGGACCAGAUCAGGGAGAAAAGGCUGAACAUUCAAAUACACCAACAAGAGAAGGCAGAGCAUAAGUUCCAAGAAGAGUGUUUGAUCCAUAAUAGACACAUGGCAAAUGUUUAUUGAACAAAUAUCACCCAAGGGAGUUGGAGGCAGUUGAAGGUAUUUUUUUAAAUUGAAAGCCCUUACCUUCCAUCAUAGAAUUAAGACUGCAUACUAUAUUGAUUCUAAGACAGAAGAGCAAUAAAGGCUAAA
rnacentral:lncRNA from 1 species